rnacentral:rRNA from 1 species
GACAGAGGCCUCGAGCGUUAGGCGGAAUCACUGGGCUUAAAGCGUGUGUAGGCGGGCCCGUAAGUGUCUUGUGAAAUCCCACGGCUCAACCGUGGAACCGCUGGGCAUACUGCGGGUCUUGGGCCCACUAGGGGCAGCCGGAACAAGCGGUGGAGCGGUGAAAUGCGUAGAUAUCGCUUGGAACGCCGAAGGUGAAGACAGGCUGCUGGGGUUGCGCCGACGCUGAGACACGAAAGCCAGGGGAGCAAACGGG